GUAUGAAUUCAGUAGGUCCGCCAGGCGAAGUAAACCUUCUUGCUGCUGCCCUUCUCAUCGUUUCUCCUGUUUAUUCAGCAUUAAUCAUGAUGGACAGCAGAGGCCGGAGCCGACGGAGGACCUCAGAGACGACGCUGGACUCGCUCUCCUCUCCUCAAGUGUUUGAGAUGACCGCUCAGUUCAGGCAGGCCGAGCUCAGCCCACAUAUCCGUCCUGCACUGAAGAGAGCAACAUGUUGGCUGCAGAGCGGCAGCAGAGAAAGCACCCAGAGGCAAACAGAAAACUUGGAAACUCCACACAGUCUUCCCUGCUGCUCCAGCACGAAGCCUUCAGUUCGAUACGUUAGAGUUCGACAAGAGAGUCGCUGCUUUGCUGCUUGUUUUAUUCACUGUGGACUAUCAACAAUUUCCAGAAGAUUCAAUCAAACAGUCUGGCUUUAAAAUGUACUAAAAAGUUGGAUUAUGGUUAUUUAAAUAAUCAGCUGUCAUUUUCA